GAAACACCAAACACCCUUUAACCCAAAUAGUUUCCUUCUUCCUAUGUUCAUGUAUAGAUUAAAUAAGAAAUUGUAAUACAUAUUCUCCAUAAUUUAUGUUUCCAAGUAACUAUUUUCAGGAUGCAUACCAUAACGCGUGACUACCUUCCAAACUAGAUGUGGGCACCAAUAAGGUUGCACACGAAAAUAUCUAUAAAAAAAAUCGCUUAAAUUCAUCAAUGGCUCUAUAUCCUUCAAACUCAACACUAGACUAAGUUUAACAAUUCCAUCUUCAACAAUUAACUUCCUUAUAGUAUGUGGAACUCUCAUCAUGAUCCCAACAUUAUGAGAUGUCAAAGGGACCAUCUUCCCCUUAGGUAACUCGAGUUGGGAAUAAGCAAUGUUCAUGUUUCUCAACAACCAAGAACACAAAUCUAAAUUCAACUCUUUGCAACUUAAUUGCAAUAGCCCCUUAAACCAAGUUUUCUUAUCACAUCCUUCUUCACUUUAGAGAACAAUUGUAUUCCAUAAAGGAAUCUACUCCCAGAACAAUGAGAACGUCUCAUCAUAAUAUCCCUGCAUAAAACAACCAUAAUUCAUUAUUAAAAGAAUUAAAUGUUAUAGACAUGUGAAUGUGAAUAUAAUA
rnacentral:lncRNA from 1 species